UUCAAGUAAGCAUACUUCUUCAAGUCAACAACCCCAGACAAGACUUAUCUCAAAAAAAAGCUAAGUAUCGUACAAUUUUCAUUUUUCUCCUGAGGACAUCUAAUGUGAGAGUUCUUUUUACUUCAAAUAAUUUUGUAAGAUUACCUAGGUAUGAUACAUAAUUCAUAGAUAUACCAUCCUUCAUUUGAUUAUUGUGUUCGUUGUGCAGGUUCUCUUGGGUAUCACAGAUUCUGAGAUAGGAUUCCUGGAUAAAGUUGAGGAUGUAGAAUAUGAGAAGCGCACUGUUAAUGUUUCUCUGAUAGUAUUAUGCUUAAUGUUCAUUUUUACUGAGUGAGAAGUGAACUGCAGUAGGAUCGGCAUCAACCUGUGCAGGUUCUCUUGGGUAUCACAGAUUCUGAGUUGGGUCUUCUAGAUAAAGUUGAGGAUGUAUAAUAUGAGAAGAGCACUGUAAAUGCUUCUCUGUAGUAAGUACUAUUUAAUCACUAUUGCAUUUUUUCAGUUUCGU